CUGACCUCAAAUCAGGUAGGAUUACCCGCUGAACUUAAGCAUAU
rnacentral:rRNA from 5 species